rnacentral:misc_RNA from 1 species
CUCAGAAAAUUCAAGCCUUCCAGGUACUUUUAGCUUAAUCACUUAUUUUAAGAGACUGCACUUAAUGGGUUUUGUUUCCGUUUUCUAUUAUUAGUUGGACCUCUAAGCAUGGCCUCUUGCAGAAUGAAUUCACGUUUCGUCUUUAAGCAACCUUAGCAAAAGCUUUGUUCACUUCAAUUAGUUUGGGACUAAGAUUUAGCUGAGUUGACUUUGUAGCAGGGCUGUUGUUUAUAGCCUUGCUAUGAACUUAUUCUAACUAUAUGUACGUAUUCUAACCCAUGGCAUCUACAUUUCCUCUUUAAGCAACCUUAGCGAAAGCUUUGUUCACUUCAACUAAUUUGGGACUGGGAUUUAGCUGAGUUGACUUUGUAGCAGGGCUGUUGUUUAUAGCCUUGCUAUGAACUUAUUCUAACUAUAUGUACGUAUUCUAACCCAUGGCAUCUACAUUUCCUCUUUAAGCAACCUUAGCGAAAGCUUUGUUCACUUCAACUAAUUUGGGACUGG